UGGCUCAGUGGUAGAGCAUUUGCCUUGCAUGCAUGAUGCCCUGGGUUCGAUUCCUCAG
rnacentral:tRNA from 1 species